UUUUUUUUUUUUUUUUUUGAGAUGGAGUCUCCCUCUGUCACCCAGGUUGGAGUGCAGUGGCGUGAUCUUGGCUCACUGCAGCCUCUGCCUCCUGGGUUCCAGUGAUUCUCCUGCUUCAGUCUCCUAGGCAGCUGAGAUUACAGGCCUAAAUGGCAAUUUCUCUUCAUAGAUGUGAACAGGCUGAGAGAUGAUGGAAUGGACUGGGCUUCCUGGGGUUCAUCAUUACUCUCUACUGCUAGGACUUGGCACGUUUGUUCUGCAUGGUUCCAUGAGCAUAAAAUAAAAACGAGCCAAGUCUUUUAAUGUGGGAGAUGCAUUUGAAAUCAGGACAACGAGUAAAUAUACUUAAAGACAUCAAAACAAGUUCAAUUAAACCUUAGGCCCUACUGAGUGGCGGCCACAGUUCAUGGACAAUUUAGCUGUGUGACCUCAGGUUAAAUCUCUCAACCUUGCCUGUGUUUCCUGUAAAUGGGAACAACAACACUUUAUAAAGUACUUCACACAAAUGGGUAAGUAUAUGAAACAAUAUACAAAAUUUAGUAUAGUCAUGGCAAACUAAGUUUUUGUGGGGCCUGAAGCUUGCACAAUUUGGGAGUCCUAUUUAAAAAAAAAAAAGAAUAUAGGAUUUCAAAAGCAAGCACAGGGCUGGGAGGGGGUCCCUGAGCCCUGCUCUCCUCGCACAGGAAAUCCACCUUUGUGCAGUUACUCUGUUUAUUUUAAGCCUGGGGGGAGCAGAGCAAUUGCUUCCUUCAUGUGGAGGUGUCCACCGGUGGCUCUGUCAUCGGGCGUGUGCAUGACUGUACUUCCCUCUGCCGCAGACACCUCAGCCGCCGUCUAGCCAGGCGAACCUGUUUGGUGUGCUCACUGCGUGAUGAAGGCGGGUGUGGCUCCCAGGGGGAGUGUCCCGCCUCCAGAACACGGCCAGAGGCUACAGAAUCAGACUUUUGCCAAAGGAAGAAAGAGCGCCCGAGGCAUGUGUUCACGGGGCAACUAUGAAAGGCUUGACUGGGAGGAGCCUCCACUAUCUUUUCAGUUCAGCCUUUUAGUCUCAAAAAUGGAAGAGGCAAAGCUCAAUUCUUAAAGAUCACUUCUUAAAAGAUAAUCCCAUCUGCCUCCAUCCUCAUCAAAUUGCAUAUCAGAAAUGGUAGUUUUGGGGUUGCUCUCAGACCCGAGCCUGCUCCAAAGUGAACAGCAAGGACAUAGACCCUGACUUUUCAGCCAGGACUUGGUGCUAGGUUUAUUUUUAUGAAAACAAAACAAAACAGCAACAACAACCAAAACAAUGCUAUUUCAGUGAGUUGAAAGAUCUAAACUCUUUUUUUUUUUCUUUUUUGAGACUGAGUCUUGCUCUGUCGCCCAGGCUGGAGUGCAGUGGCGCUAUCCCAGCCAACUGCAACCUCUGUCUCCCAGGUUCAAGUGAUUCUCCUGCCUCAGCCUCCCGAGUAGCUGGGCCUACAGGCACCCGCCACUAUGCCUGGCUAAUUUUUGUAUUUUUAGUAGAGACAGGGUUUCACCGUGUUAGCCAGGAUGGUCUUGAUCUCCUGACCUCGUAAUCCGCUCACCUCAGCCCCCUAAAGUGCUGGAAUUAUAGGCAUGAGCCACCAC
ensembl:lncRNA